CAGAUUUACUGCUUGUUGCUGCCACCUGUUGGACAGUAGAUGAGCAGGAGAAUACGGAGCCCCUGAAGGGUCAUAGCGAGGAUGUUUUUGAGGAUUAUUUUUUCAUUACCUCACAACAUGUUUUGUCCUUUCUGGUAAUCCUUUUCUUCUUGUGACCCUUCCCGAGCCGUAGCCGCCUGUUUCCGCUCAGCUGCUCCCAGCGACCCAGUGUGGAUCAGCUCAUCGAAUCUGACUUUGAACCGGGCGUUACCUACGGUGAUAUAGCGCUACUGCUCAACAGUUAGGAAGCGGAAGCAGUUAUUGAUCAGUGCAUCAGUGCAGUGGGCCCUGGGUUCCCCCUGCUGCAGGGGGCCACACAUUACAGACUGCCCUGGAGCUCACAGAUGCCCUGAGCCAGGUCUGGCAGGAGAUCCCCCAGGACACCACCCACCAUCUCAUCAGGAACCCCGACAGGCAGGUCUUCCAGCUCUGAGUGAACUCCAGAUAUCAGGGCCUAUCACAAUGUGUUCGGGUUCAUCAGCUACUCCCUUUCCAGCAGCAGUGGACUCUGUGGACUCAUUUGAUCUGCCUCUCUGUCAAGGUUACAACUCUGGACCAAGAUGGAAAGCAAUGGACCGACACUGACUGUUGAUUAAAUAUUGAAUUUAAAAUGUUGAUUAGCUGGCAGACUGGCCGAUAUGCAUCUCUCAGUAAAUAAUAAGUAUUCAGCCAAGCCGGAGUGAUAAUAGUAUUUUAAAUUUACAAAGUGUAUAAAAGUGUCAAUGUUGGUCACGUGAGUUUUGGACCCAAACACAAAGGCAGAGAUUCAGUUUGUGAAGUUUAAAUGAACAAAAACAAGAUUCCCUAACUUACAUGUAGCAAAGUCCAAAACAAGGUUUAACUCUAUGAAUGAAAGGUCCAAGCAGAACAGAUUGAGCCCAAAAAUUCAGAACACUAACAGAAGCUUCAACAAGCAACUCUAACCAGACAGAGUCUGAACAGAACAUUUAUACACAGGCAAACGAGCAGGUAGGGAGCACGCACAGGUGAGACACAUCAGAGGUAAUGCUAAAGCAGUCCUCAAAAAUGUUCUCGCCGUGACCCUUCAGGGGCUCCGUAGUACAAAGAGAGAAGUUUCAUCAAGUCUUUCCAGUGCCCUUCCGGUCCUGUUUUCCUUCCUUCAGUGUCCGUCCGUUCCUCAUCACUUCCCCGCAGUACAACAUGUUGAUCACCCAGAUUACAGGUGU